AUUUAUGGGAAACAAAGGAUUGUUCUCUUCUCAAUAUCUGUAGUUGCGAUCACCCCAGAAAUCUCCAUCCCGGUCUUCAGGGGACACUGUUACGUUCCUUCCUAAUCUGUAUGAUUUGUGAACCCUUACCCUUCUCCCUCCCAUCCCCUGGCCACCAUUAAAUAGCUAGCUCUGCAGCUGCAGGACCUGACAGCUUGAAGAAGUGAGGCCCCUGGUCUGCUGAAUACUGGGACUGGCAGGGAGCAGCUCUGUGACCAAUGUGGAACGUGCCAGUGGGGAUCAUCCUGACUGGAGUACUUAGUGAGUUUCCCUGGAGCCACUGUGCACGUAGGUGUCCCUGCCUGCCCUGAUCACACCCUGGCCAUCAACUUCCUUCACAUCACCAUGUCUCAUGGCUUCAGGCAUCUUAUCGUAGAAUCCAUGGAGUUGGAAAGGACUUAAAUGGCCAUCUAGUCCAACUCCCCUGCAAUGAAGAGGGACAUCCACAGCUCCAUCAGGCUGCCCAGGGCUUGAGCCAACCUUGCCUUGAAAGUCUUCAGGGACAGUGCAUCCACCACAGCUCUGUGCAACCUGUUCCCAUGCCUCACCACCCUCACUGGAGAAGACUUUUUCCUUAUAUCUGACCUACAUUUUCCCUCUUUAUGCUUGAAAUUGUUUCCCCUUCUUCUAUCACCACAGACCCUGCUAAAGAGUCUGUCCCCUUCUUUCUCAUCAUUCCCCUAUAGAUACUGACAGGCUGCCCUCAGGUCACCUUGCAGCCUUCUUUUUUCCAGGCUGCACAGCCCCAGCUCUCAGCCUGUCCCCAUAGGAGAGGUGUUCCGUCCUUGGUUCGUAUUUGUAGCCCAUCUUGGGACAUGCUCCAACAGGUCUGUGUCUUUCCUGUACUGAGGGCUCCACACCUUGAUGCAGUACUCCAGCAGAAAACAGGGGAAGGUAGCAGGAGACCACAUCCCACUGAUAUGGAAAAACACAGCACCUGAUCACCUGCCGAUCCUUGCCCAGAUGCUGCUCAGCAAUGAGAAGCUGUAUUUGCAGGAUUGCCUCAGAACCCAGCUUUGCUGACUGGCUGCUGGUUGCCCAAAGAGGUAAGGACGAUGUACACAGACCAACGUUUACCCAUGAGAUAUUGUGGCAGAACGCUCCGUAUCAAAAGCGAUCCCGUGGAUAUUUUCAAGCCUUGGGCAAACCGGACGGAAUCUCGGACUGGUGAGGCUAGGUACGGAAGCUCUGUUAAUUGUUCCAAACCUCCCUUGGCUUUGCUGCGCACACCCAUCCUAUUGAUCCAGCUUUUUUAAUCACCUCAGACACUGACAAAAAAUAAAAAAGGGAAAAAAAAAAGCCCUUAGCACAGGU